AGAGUUUGAUCCUGGCUCAGGAUGAACGCUAGCUACAGGCUUGACACAUGCAAGUCGAGGGGAAACGAUAUUGGAAGCUUGCUUCCGAUAGGCGUCGACCGGCGCACGGGUGAGUAACGCGUAUCCAACCUGCCCACCACUUGGGGAUAACCUUGCGAAAGUAAGACUAAUACCCAAUGAUAUCUCUAGAAGACAUCUGAAAGAGAUUAAAGAUUUAUCGGUGAUGGAUGGGGAUGCGUCUGAUUAGCUUGUUGGCGGGGUAACGGCCAACCAAGGCAACGAUCAGUAGGGGUUCUGAGAGGAAGGUCCCCCACAUUGGAACUGAGACACGGUCCAAACUCCUACGGGAGGCAGCAGUGAGGAAUAUUGGUCAAUGGACGAGAGUCUGAACCAGCCAAGUAGCGUGCAGGAAGACGGCCCUAUGGGUUGUAAACUGCUUUUAUAAGGGAAUAAAGUGAGAGUCGUGACUCUUUUUGCAUGUACCUUAUGAAUAAGGACCGGCUAAUUCCGUGCCAGCAGCCGCGGUAAUACGGAAGGUCCGGGCGUUAUCCGGAUUUAUUGGGUUUAAAGGGAGCGUAGGCCGGAGAUUAAGCGUGUUGUGAAAUGUAGACGCUCAACGUCUGCACUGCAGCGCGAACUGGUUUCCUUGAGUACGCGCAAAGUGGGCGGAAUUCGUGGUGUAGCGGUGAAAUGCUUAGAUAUCACGAAGAACUCCGAUUGCGAAGGCAGCUCACUGGAGCGCAACUGACGCUGAAGCUCGAAAGUGCGGGUAUCGAACAGGAUUAGAUACCCUGGUAGUCCACGCCGUAAACGAUGACUACUAGGUGUCGGGCAGCAAAGCUGUUCGGUGCCGCAGCAAACGCAAUAAGUAGUCCACCUGGGGAGUACGUUCGCAAGAAUGAAACUCAAAGGAAUUGACGGGGACCCGCACAAGCGGUGGAGCAUGUGGUUUAAUUCGAAGCAACGCGAAGAACCUUACCUGCUCUUGACAUCUCCCUGACCGGCAAGUAAUGUUGCCUUUCCUUCGGGACAGGGAUGACAGGUGGUGCAUGGUUGUCGUCAGCUCGUGUCGUGAGAUGUUGGGUUAAGUCCCGCAACGAGCGCAACCCCUAUCUUUAGUAGCCAGCGGCCAGGCCGGGCACUCUAGAGAGACUGCCAGGGAUAACCUGGAGGAAGGUGGGGAUGACAUCAAAUCAUCAUGCCCCUUAUGAGCAGGGCUACACACGUGCUACAAUGGCGUAAACAAAGGGAGGCAGAACCGCGAGGUCGAGCAAAUCCCAAAAAUAACGUCUCAGUUCGGAUUGUAGUCUGCAACUCGACUACAUGAAGCUGGAAUCGCUAGUAAUCGCGAAUCAGAAUGUCGCGGUGAAUACGUUCCCGGGUCUUGUACACACCGCCCGUCACACCAUGGGAGUCAGUAACGCCCGAAGUCAGUGACCCAACCGUAAGGAGGGAGCUGCCGAAGGUGGGACCGAUAACUGGGGUGAAGUCGUAACAAGGUA
rnacentral:rRNA from 1 species